CCGUCCGUACGGGAAGAAAGGAGGGCCUCUGCUUGCACGCUCUCACUCCAGGAUGACGCCCACGUCCGAUUAGCUAGUUGGUAGGGUAAAGGCCUACCAAGGCCACGAUCGGUAGCUGGUCUGAGAGGAUGAUCAGCCACACUGGGACUGAGACACGGCCCAGACUCCUACGGGAGGCAGCAGUGGGGAAUAUUGGACAAUGGGCGCAAGCCUGAUCCAGCAAUGCCGCGUGUGUGAAGAAGGCCUGCGGGUUGUAAAGCACUUUCAGUGGGGAAGAACAGAUUCGGGUCAAUACCCCGGAGCCCUGACGUUACCCACAGAAGAAGCACCGGCUAACUCCGUG
rnacentral:rRNA from 1 species